ACUCAAAUGAAUUGACGGGGGCCCGCACAAGCGGUGGAGCAUGUGGUUUAAUUCGACGCAACGCGCAGAACCUUACCAGCCCUUGACAUGCCUGUUAUGGUUUCCAGAGAUGGAUUCCUUCGGUUCGGCCGGGCAGUGCACAGUUGCUGCAUGGCUGUCGUCAGCUCGUGUCGUGAGAUGUUGGGUUAAGUCCCGCAACGAGCGCAACCCUCCUCCUUAGUUGCCACCAUUCAGUUGGGCACUCUAGGGAUACUGCCGGUGAUAAGCCGGAGGAAGGCGGGGAUGACGUCAAGUCCUCAUGGCACUUACGGGCUGGGCUACACACGUGCUACAAUGGUGGUGACAAUGGGAUGCGAACCCGCGAGGGGGAGCAAAUCUCCAAAAGCCAUCUCAGUUCAGAUUGCAGGCUGCAACUCGCCUGCAUGAAGUUGGAAUCGCUAGUAAUCGUGGAUCAGCAUGCCACGGUGAAUACGUUCCCGGGCCUUGUACACACCGCCCGU
rnacentral:rRNA from 1 species